UCAAUCAACUUUGUGGGAUAAGAUGAGCCAAAGGUUGUUGAAAUCGUGUACAAAUUUUUUGUAUAUAAGUGUGAAAGAUCAAUCAAAAGAAAUAUACUAUUCUCUUCCUCUCGUCUCUUCUCUUUCUCUCUAUUUCCCUUUUCUCUGCGCCCAACUCGUUUCUCUCUCCUUGAUCAUUCAGCGCUCGUCUCGUCUCUUUCUUUUUCACAUGGUAUCAGAGUCACUCAUCGUCGAUGUAAGGCAAGGCAUGAUGGGCUCAUCGUGCUUCAGUUUGCUGGUUCAGUCUAGCUGCGCCGGACCUUCCAACACCAAGAUCUUCUCUGCUGUCUUCAUUGUUCGACAGUAAUGACUUGCACUAGCGUCUUCUGUUCUAUUUUCUGUGAUUGAAGAGUCCCGACCGUUUUCAGCCUAAUCAAAGGUUUGAGGGAUUUUCUGCGAGCAGCAAUUCCUCCUCAGCACAACCGGUUGCUGCAAAGUCACCAGAAAAUCUGAACGAGGCACAGCCUCGAAGCAUCCCGAUUUCGCACAACAAAUUGGGGCAAAAACCCUCUCUGGUGAUACGUUAAACCAUGCUCUUAUUGUCUACUUCUGAUUUGGUUUUCUCUUAAUCCAAUCUGCUCCCAUUUGGAGAUCGAUUUGGGCGAGGAGGAAGAACUCUGUUCUUCAAGGAGCCCCCAGCGGCGGCCAAAGAUCCUUCACGCGUUCUUGCUGGGGAGCUCAUUUCGAGGCGAGCUGUUGGGUGUCCAAUCCUGAUGGUGUUCUCCUGAGCGAUUUUGGUGAUUUUUGGAGCUUCCCAUGAUUUUACACAAUUCUGCCACCGGAGCACUAUCCUGUUGUAGCUGGAACCAGACCUGAAGGGGAUCCUUGCUCACGUCCCUUUCUGUAACACAAAAUGGCUGAACUGAUUGGAGAGGAGAUGGAGCUGGUUGACAGUAGGAGCUGCUGCGCCUGUAGCAGAUUUGGUAGCUGGUUGAAGAGGUGUUCACCGACACCAAUCCGGCGAUUGCUCUCCCUAAUUCAACACAGAAAUAGGGGUCCAAUUGAAAUUCGGUGAAGUGUAGAACCUUGCUGAUUUCCCUCACUUCCUGUUUUUAUAAAGAUUAUGAUCUCGUGUUCUGUUAUGAGCUGAGGUGCGACCAAGGAGAGGACUCAGUUGGAAGCUCGUGGCAGCGACUGUUCAUGAGGGAGGAAGCUGUCCAGGUGUGCUGAAUACCGAGGGAUUUCCUUCCUCCUCGGUGGUGUGCAAACACGACUGCUUAAGUUUGUGACUCGGUGAAGGGUUGAGAGAACCUGUUGUCGAGCUAAAUCUGUUUCAUAUCUGACGAAAGUGAAGAGAGUGCUGAAGGCCAGGCGUAAGCCUAUUUCAGUUGCUGCAGGCCAUGUGCAACCGAGGAGGAGUCGUUCCUCUCUUUGUUUCAAGUUUUUUUUUUUUGGCGCUUCUUUUUCUUCGCUUGGCAGCAACUCUUGCUCGACCAGGGAUGUAAUCAGAACUGAUCGGUGUCACGCACCGUUGUAACUCGAGUGAGGGCACACAAGGUGGUGGUUCAAACAUGAAUUUUCGGCCACCAUAAUUUGCAGCGACCAUUCAUAAUCAAAGGCCGGUGGAUCUCCAACCAAGCGAUGGUACUAGUUUUUCUGGCAAUCACAGUCAUAAUCGUAAAGUUGUACCUUCAUGCACUAUGGAUGAGUAUCAUAAACUCUUACCACUUGUUAAAACUCUGUCUGUCUCUAUCAAUUUCACAGGACCUGGCGUUGAGGACGACGAUUGGUCAGGGUAAAGAAAGAGAAGACAUAUAUGAACUCGAUCUAGUGAUUUCAUCCACAAGCUGCUUUAUUGUGUCCUCUUCCCAAGAUCUCUGGCAUAUGUGGUUCGGUCAUCUUUCUUUUUCUCGUCUUAAACUUGUUGAUUCUUAUAUAGGUUUGAAUUGUGAUUUGAAUUGUGAUUUGAAUAAACAAAUUUGUUGUGA